rnacentral:lncRNA from 1 species
GCCAUUCUUUCCUGACCCAGAAAGGGAAACAACUGGAUAAACUGCAAAAGGCAUCUCUUCAGGGUGUAUCAGUUCACUUAAGUUUCAGCUUCUCUCUGCCCUUCGUAACAUCUGGCUUUCAACACUGCACUUCCAAUACUCCAUCUGCUAUUGCAAGACUGAUAUCAGCAGCUGGACCUGCCUUUCCUGACAGUAUUCCCCAUGAAACAAGGCUGCCAUCAGCUGCAGCACCAGAACACUUGGAAUCACUUGAACCUCUUUCAUGCAGAAUUUUGCUGGGACAACCCAAAGCUUGCCAAAAGAGAAGGGAGUUGCUGCUAAGUGGCUGGCAGCAAAUUAUUCAGCA